ACAUAAACCAGGGGGAGCUGACGGAAGUCGGCUGAGAGGAAACGUGUUCCCGUUUCGACCCAUUACCUGAUUUGGAUAAUGCCAACGGAGGAAAAAGAAAUGAGAAAUUAC
rnacentral:ncRNA from 1 species